AGAGAGGUGUGGGGGAAGAGAGAGAGGGAGAGAGACCCGGACUCAAAAACAACAACAAAAACUCUGUACACUGGUGGGGCAAUAACCUUGUUAGAAUUGGUUCAUGAGAACAAGGGAGAAAUGGACACACAAUAUGGAUAAUUUUUUUGAACUGUUUUACUGAAAAAUGAAGCAGAAAAGUAGGGUACUAGCUUGAGGGAGGGAUAUGAAGUGGUAAAGGGCAGGUUUCCUCUUUGACAACCAGACAAACGUAAGCAAUGGGGAAAGGAUUCCCUUUUUAAUAAAUGGUGUUGGGAAAACUGGCUAGCCAUAUGCAGAAAACAAACUGGACGCCUUCCUUACACCUUAUGUAAAAAUUAAC